rnacentral:rRNA from 1 species
UACGAAGGGGCUAGCGUUGCUCGGAAUCACUGGGCGUAAAGCGCACGUAGGCGGAUUGCUAAGUCAGGGGUGAAAUCCUGGAGCUCAACUCCAGAACUGCCUUUGAUACUGGCGACCUUGAGUCCGGGAGAGGUGAGUGGAACUGCGAGUGUAGAGGUGAAAUUCGUAGAUAUUCGCAAGAACACCAGUGGCGAAGGCGGCUCACUGGCCCGGUACUGACGCUGAGGUGCGAAAGCGUGGGAGCAAACAGGG